AGCGAACGCUGGCGGCAUGCCUUACACAUGCAAGUCGAACGGUAACAGGUCUUCGGAUGCUGACGAGUGGCGAACGGGUGAGUAAUACAUCGGAACGUGCCUAGUAGUGGGGGAUAACUACUCGAAAGAGUGGCUAAUACCGCAUGAGAUCUACGGAUGAAAGCAGGGGAUCGCAAGACCUUGUGCUACUAGAGCGGUCGAUGGCAGAUUAGGUAGUUGGUGGGAUAAAAGCUUACCAAGCCGACGAUCUGUAGCUGGUCUGAGAGGACGAUGAGCCACACUGGGACUGAGACACGGCCCAGACUCCUACGGGAGGCAGCAGUGGGGAAUUUUGGACAAUGGGCGCAAGCCUGAUCCAGCAAUGCCGCGUGCAGGAUGAAGGCCUUCGGGUUGUAAACUGCUUUUGUACGGAACGAAAAGCCCUGGGUUAAUACCCUGGGGUCAUGACGGUACCGUAAGAAUAAGCACCGGCUAACUACGUGCCAGCAGCCGCCGUAACAC
rnacentral:rRNA from 1 species